UUGGUCCCAACUGUAUAAAUGCUGAAGCUCUGUCUGAGAUCCUGAGCUUAGAAAACAAGAUCAAAUCAGUAAACAGGACUCCUCAGAACCAAAGAUCGUCUAGUCUGUACGCUCGUCUGUUUAAUUAAGAGAGAGGAAGAAAUUCAAAAUACAGAGAAAUACUAAACAGAGCCUAAAACUACAGAAAUCCUCCUCAGAUCACUGACCAUGGGAGCUGGAGGUCAGGAUGGAGGACCGAGUUCCUCCUGCUUUUGCUCUCCAUACAGACACCAAAGCCUGCUGUCACCUGAUUGGUCAAUAUUAUCUACACACGACAAACUGAAAACUUUAAAUAUUGGAAACUACGGUGGCCAAGAACCAACACUGCUGCAAAAAAAAAGAAUGCAAAAAAAAGAAGAAGCCACAAUGGAAGUUAACGACACACACAAAAAAAGUGGCAUUGCAAAAAAAAAAGAUAAAAUAAAAAGUUCCUUACUGCGAAAAUAAAAGGAUGCAAAUAAAAAAAUCCACAACAGAAGUGAUGUGUUUUACUCAACUCAACUUUAUGUGUAAAUCACUUUAAAACAACCACAGCUGGACAAAGUGCCGUACAUAAAUAGACAAAACAACGCAGACGUAAAAAACAUAAAAAAUAUAUUAAAACAGUGGAUUAAAUAAAAGCAGAUAUUAAAAAGUAAAAUAUAGUUUCAGUGUUUUUAACUAACUUAAAAACAUAGAAACAAAGAACUAAAAAACAAACAUAAAACACUGAAACAGGAGCCGAGUCUCAUGAAUAAAAACGGGUUUUAAGGCGAGCUUUAAGAAUAGACAGUGUGGGGGCUUGUCUGAUUUGGAAGGGUCGCUCGGUCCACACAGAAAAAAGAUCUCCCCCUCUGAGCUUCAGUUUGGACCUCAGUACCUCCAGCUGAUCGGCUGACCUGAGGCACCGAGCGAGCGAGCAGGGGUGUAGGGGUGGAGAAGCUCAGAUGGGAGAGAUGGAGUCAGACCAUUUGAAGAUUUAAAAACUAAUAAAAGAAUCUUAAAAUGAAGAAUCUAAAACGAACAGGUGACCAGUGGAGGGAGGCCAGGAUGGAGGAAUGGAGACGUGAGACCUGUCGAAUUUAAAAUCACUGUCCUCAUCUUAAAACCCAAAUUUGAGAUGGUUGACUUUAAAUAGUCUGAGAAAAUAUUCUCAGUUUACGAUCUAGACACAGAAGACAAAGGUGAGAAGACGAGCAAAGAAGUGGAAAGGUUAUUGUUUGAUUUCACUUUGUAAACUUUUCAAUGUGUCAUUUAGUUAGACCAGGUAGCACCUGAGUCGAUAUGUAGUUAAACGAAACCCACUACGCCCCGAAAGACCACCCACAAGAGGAGAAUCGAGUUUGGUAACUUUACAGCUCGGUUACUUUACUCAUAGAAAUAAGUACACAGACACCUCGCUCUUUCAUUAUUGGUCCACAGCAGCUCACUUUCAUUUUGACCUUUUUUAUUUUCAUCCAUUUAUUUUAACAGUAACUAACUUUUUAUUUUUGCAUCGGUAACUUCUGUUGUUUUCUUCUUUAUUUGCAGCAGUGGUCGUUCUCGACCACCGCAGAAAACAGCUUCUAGAUGAAAUCUCCAAACUUCUCCAUCAGCAUGAAUCGGGUUUUCUGCUGGAUGAAGGUCACAUGGACCUCCUCAGACUGUCCUCCUCCGUCUCUGACAUCAGGCCACAUCAAGACCAUGAAGCAGCCGAAGUCCUGAGAGCUCUGCGUGAUAAUGGGAUGAGUAAAGCCUCUGACUAAGCUGCUGCGUUUGUUGAUGUGGGAGUGACAAUAGGACGUAAAACCGUCAGUAAAAUCCUGACGAUUAUUCUCCAUGAAAUCAAAGAUCUGCAGGAUGAAAAUGAUGCGACAGAAAGUCCCGGGACGAGCCGCAAAUCAGGCGGGUCGGAAUCAAAGGUUUCCAAAAAGGUGUCGGGGGAGCAGUGAAGGUCUCUCAUCAGGACGCUCGUCACCACCGCAGCCACGAAAAAAAGAAAAACCUCCACCCUGCUGAACAAAGAGCGACUGUACUCGCCCUCACACACACACACACACACACACACACACACACACACACACACACACACACACACACACACACACACACACACACACACACACACAGUCAGUUUGUGUCUAAUCACACAUGGCGUUGUCAUCAUACAGUGAUUUCCUGCCCUGACACAAACUCCACAGUCACUCGGUCAUGGAGGUCAAACCGAAUUUUCUCAGAGAGGGUCUGAAGACACAAAGACGCUGUCACGGUCCCCGCUGUGAUUUGGACUCUGCUGGGAGGUACGCCGAGAAAUAUCGAGCCGAGACCAAGUUGGUCACUCAGACUUUGAGAAGUCAUCGUCAGGAGAAAAGGCGACACUUAAACCGAGAGAAAACCAGGAGAGUUCGACGCCAAAGUCUCUUCUUCAUGUUUCUGAUCUAGACUUUAAAUUUAACAUACAGGAAAAGGGUCAUGUUUGCACAAAUCUGAUCUAAAGUCAGCCUUUUCAUGUUACCUUACAUACUUAUGUAAAAGUCUUGACUUAUAAAUAUCUUGGAGAGAGCAGGUGUUGUUUUAGAUGUCAUGAAUCCUGUCAGCGACUCAUGAUUAAUAAUCAAUCGCUUUUUUAAUUUGGUGUGUCCACGAAAAGUCUGUUUAUGGCACCAACAGGAUCAGAUCUUUAAUUCAGUUUUCUGAUGAUAUUAUAGAAAGUUUUUACACCAGUCUCCUCAACGUCAACUGAGUCCACAACAUUUUUCUACACCACAGGAGUUGUUGGAUUGGUUUACGCCCAAUUUCCAUCACAUCCUGAAC